rnacentral:rRNA from 1 species
GAUGAACGCUGGCGGCGUGCCUAAUACAUGCAAGUCGAGCGAACAGACGAGGAGCUUGCUCCUCUGACGUUAGCGGCGGACGGGUGAGUAACACGUGGAUAACCUACCUAUAAGACUGGGAUAACUUCGGGAAACCGGAGCUAAUACCGGGUAAUAUAUUGAACCGCAUGGUUCAAUAGUGAAAGACGGUUUUGCUGUCACUUAUAGAUGGAUCCGCGCCGCAUUAGCUAGUUGGUAAGGUAACGGCUUACCAAGGCAACGAUGCGUAGCCGACCUGAGAGGGUGAUCGGCCACACUGGAACUGAGACACGGUCCAGACUCCUACGGGAGGCAGCAGUAGGGAAUCUUGCGCAAUGGGCGAAAGCCUGACGGAGCAACGCCGCGUGAGUGAUGAAGGUCUUCGGAUCGUAAAACUCUGUUAUUAGGGAAGAACAAAUGUGUAAGUAACUAUGCACGUCUUGACGGUACCUAAUCAGAAAGCCACGGCUAACUACGUG